rnacentral:rRNA from 1 species
GCGAACGCUGGCGGCGUGCUUAACACAUGCAAGUCGAGUGCGCAGUUUCCUGUAGCAAUACAGGAAAUGGGCGCACGGCGCACGGGUGCGUAACACGUGGGUACCUGCCCUUUGGACGGGGAAUAACCCCGCGAAAGCGGGGCUAAUACCGCGUAAGAUUCCCGGGACUUCGGUCCCGGGUUUGAUAGUCCGCAAGGACGACGAAGGAGGGGCCUGCGCCCGAUUAGCUUGUUGGCGGGGUAACGGCCCACCAAGGCGAUGAUCGGUAGCCGGUCUGAGAGGAUGGCCGGCCACACUGGAACUGAGACACGGUCACGACUCCUACCGG